rnacentral:rRNA from 1 species
GUUCUUCGGAACGAGUAGAGCGGCGGACGGGUGAGUAACGCGUGGGAAAUUGCCCAGUAGUGGGGGACAACAUUCGGAAACGGAUGCUAAUACCGCAUACGCCCUACGGGGGAAAGCAGGGGAUCUUCGGACCUUGUGCUAUUGGAUAUGCCCGCGUCGGAUUAGCUAGUUGGUGAGGUAAUGGCUCACCAAGGCAACGAUCCGUAGCUGGUCUGAGAGGAUGAUCAGCCACACUGGGACUGAGACACGGCCCAGACUCCUACGGGAGGCAGCAGUGGGGAAUAUUGGACAAUGGGCGCAAGCCUGAUCCAGCCAUGCCGCGUGUGUGAAGAAGGCUCUAGGGUUGUAAAGCACUUUCAGUAGGGAGGAAGGCCUUAAAGUUAAUACCUUUGAGGAUUGACGUUACCUACAGAAGAAGCACCGGCUAACUCCGUGCCAGCAGCCGCGGUAAUACGGAGGGUGCGAGCGUUAAUCGGAAUUACUGGGCGUAAAGCGCGCGUAGGCGGUUAGUUAAGCUGGAUGUGAAAGCCCCGGGCUCAACCUGGGAACUGCAUUCAGAACUGGCUGGCUAGAGUA